UUAGAGUUUGAUCAUGGCUCAGGAUGAACGCUGGCGGCGUGCUUAACACAUGCAAGUCGAACGAACCUUCGGGUUAGUGGCGGACGGGUGAGUAACGCGUGAGAAUCUGCCCUCAGGAGGGGGAUAACGGUUGGAAACGACCGCUAAUACCCCAUAUGCCUACUGGUGAAAUGAAUUUCGCCUGAGGAUGAGCUCGCGUCUGAUUAGCUAGUUGGUGAGGUAAUGGCUCACCAAGGCUUCGAUCAGUAGCUGGUCUGAGAGGAUGAUCAGCCACACUGGGACUGAGACACGGCCCAGACUCCUACGGGAGGCAGCAGUGGGGAAUUUUCCGCAAUGGGCGAAAGCCUGACGGAGCAACGCCGCGUGAGGGACGAAGGCCUCUGGGCUGUAAACCUCUUUUCUCAAGGAAGAAGAUAUGACGGUACUUGAGGAAUAAGCCACGGCUAAUUCCGUGCCAGCAGCCGCGGUAAUACGGGAGUGGCAAGCGUUAUCCGGAAUUAUUGGGCGUAAAGCGUCCGCAGGCGGCUUUUCAAGUCUGCUGUUAAAAAGUGGAGCUUAACUCCAUCAUGGCAGUGGAAACUGAAAGGCUUGAGUAUGGUAGGGGCAGAGGGAAUUCCCGGUGUAGCGGUGAAUGCGUAGAUAUCGGGAAGAACACCAGUGGCGAAGGCGCUCUGCUGGGCCAUUACUGACGCUCAUGGACGAAAGCCAGGGGAGCGAAAGGGAUUAGAUACCCCUGUAGUCCUGGCCGUAAACGAUGAACACUAGGUGUCGGGGGAAUCGACCCCUUCGGUGUCGUAGCUAACGCGUUAAGUGUUCCGCCUGGGGAGUACGCACGCAAGUGUGAAACUCAAAGGAAUUGACGGGGGCCCGCACAAGCGGUGGAGUAUGUGGUUUAAUUCGAUGCAACGCGAAGAACCUUACCAGGGUUUGACAUCCUGCGAACCUCUUAGAAAUUUGAGGGUGCCUUCGGGAAUGCAGUGACAGGUGGUGCAUGGCUGUCGUCAGCUCGUGUCGUGAGAUGUUGGGUUAAGUCCCGCAACGAGCGCAACCCACGUUUUUAGUUGCCAGCAUUUAGUUGGGCACUCUAGAAAGACCGCCGG
rnacentral:rRNA from 1 species